rnacentral:rRNA from 1 species
CGCUGGCGGCGUGCUUAACACAUGCAAGUCGAACGGAAAGGCCCUGCUUUGUGGGGUGCUCGAGUGGCGAACGGGUGAGUAACACGUGAGUAACCUGCCCUUGACUUUGGGAUAACUUCAGGAAACUGGGGCUAAUACCGGAUAGGAGCUCCUGCUGCAUGGUGGGGGUUGGAAAGUUUCGGCGGUUGGGGAUGGACUCGCGGCUUAUCAGCUUGUUGGUGGGGUAGUGGCUUACCAAGGCUUUGACGGGUAGCCGGCCUGAGAGGGUGACCGGCCACAUUGGGACUGAGAUACGGCCCAGACUCCUACGGGAGGCAGCAGUGGGGAAUAUUGCACAAUGGGCGGAAGCCUGAUGCAAGCAACGCCGCGUGCGGGAUGACGGCCUUCGGGUUGUAAACCGCUUUCGCCUGUGACGAAGCGUGAGUGACGGUAAUGGGUAAAGAAGCACCGGCUAACUACGUGCCAGCAGCCGC